GUUUGCAUUCACCCCUUCGGGCCCCGGUCCGCCGCCGCUGAGCGCGCGAUCCUGUGCGAGCGCGCAUUUACCACGGAGCGAGCCCCGUUCAGCCCAGGGCGGGUUACAUCCGAGUAGACCCGGCUGGGCUCGUGCUGCCGCCGCGGCUCCCUCCCCGGCAGCGGCGACGCGGGAUCCCGUCAGGGUGCCGGUGGAGCCAGAAGGACAGGACUGCAGCCCAGACACCCCGAGAUCUUUUCAUGUCUUGCAGGGAGGACGAGGCCGCUUCCUAGGAGUCAGGGGCGCAGCAUGCCGGACCCCCUUCUUUGCGCCCAGGACAGGGGGAGCGCUGCCUAGAAUAGCAGCUCAUUGCCCUCCGGCGCCUGGACAGCAAGAGCAAAGACCUCAAGAAAGACGAGGACUGAGGACGAGGCCCGCUGGAUCUUGCACGCACGGUGGCCGACCUGCUGCCUGAGGGAGGCCACAGGUAGGGCGUGAGUACACUGACACGAUCCCCCGGAGGAAGACUCUCCAGCAGGCAAUCCAGGAGUGACCUCCCAGCCAACCAUGUCUGUUUAGACACAGACCCUAAGCUGGCCAUGCAGACUAGGGAUGCUGGAACUCCUAGGCGUGCCGAGCUCACACUGGCACCGUAGUGCUUUAGCCUAGUCCAUGGAGCCAGCGUGCAUCUCUGUUUGAAGGUUGUUCCGGGAGCCAGGACUCUCGUCCCUCAACAACUGAUGAAUUUCUACUGUCUUGCUGAACAGUCUUGAGAAAAUACAGGCUCUGGGCUUGCCCUUGCAAAACAUUCCGUGUAAGCAGAACAAGAUAAUUAAAGGUUCGUGUACUAACGUACCGCCUAACGAUUACUUAAAUGCAAAAAAUCAACCUGAGUGGUUCAGCCUUAAUGACAAUAUUGCCGUAACCUUCGACCCCGUCCAAGCGACGAUGUCUGCUCUGUCUUUUUGCAUUCUCCCUUCUCCUUCUGAGGCUUUCAAGAGGCUGCACUUACUCAUCCCAGGUCUGAUAUGUAAGCUGCAUCCCCCCUUUACAGCUGAAACCCUCCCUUUGCGGGGCUCUGUCAGAUCAGGGCCCAUCCCUAGCUUGUGACUCAGUGUGCAUUUCUGGAAAGAUGCGCUCUUCCUGCAGCCAUUCAGCCAGAUGCCCAGGCAUCCUGUAAAGCCAGGACUGGGGAGCCUCACCCCACCUGGAUUCCCCACAGUGACCCCCCCUUCCCUGGCUCCACCCCUUUUCUCCCUGCACUGGUAGUUUGGUGCUUUCCCAGCUUUUGUGUAGCUUUCCUCCAUAAGAAGCUGCAGUGUCUCCCUUAAGGCUUAGUUACUGGCAGUAGGAGCUUUAAGGCUUGAUACAUUGGCAUCUUUAUUUUGGGCCCCACCCUGUUGGGUUUGGCCCUGCUAACCGCAGGAAUGCAGCUCCAAAGAUCUUCUCUACAACUGAAUUCCACCCUCAGGCUGAACGAGGGUCCCCACCCCUCCGUAACAGAAACUGUCCUUGGCCUUAUAAGAAAAGCUGUUAUCUGCCAGGUUCAUUCUUCAGACAUUAAGAGGUCCAGGAGUAGCCCCAGCCUUCUCUGUUGCACCUAACUCUGACAUUGUGCCAAGAGUCCGAACAGGCUCAUAAAAACAAGGUCUAAGUCGGAAAGAGAAAUGAUACAUGGCUCACCGCAGGCAAAGUUCCUCCUCCUGCAUCCUCUAUUGAGGUAGCUCCACAUUUCGUGCUGCCGAAGCUCGAGUUUCCAUAGUCAGCUGGAAAGAAACUUAAAGACAAGUUCUCCAACUGUACACCAGCAAUACCUGACCCAAUGAGCAAGACCCCACUGUAUGUUGAUGCAGAAGUCGUGAUGCAGAAGUUCAGCAAAGCUUCACUUCUCCCUGCAUCUGUCCCUUAAGCAGAAGUUUCGCCUUGCUCCCCCCAGAUCCUCCCUGACACUGAUGUGCUGUGCGCUUAUCCCGAAGUCUCAGUGGGAAGGAUUUCUUCUGGGGUCCCCAGAGCACUCUUUCUUUCAAAGAGUUCCAGCCACACAAUGCACGAUGAGAAAAAUAAUCUUUUUCACACGCCAAGGAGCCCUCUCCACUACCGUUGGCCCAGCUGCAACAAUUUAUUUGACUGUCUCAUGCAGCCUCAUCAAACAUUAGUGUGUUUUCCAGGAAGCAACAAUCUCCGAUGCAAAAUUCAUGAGGACUUAGUGCAUAUACUUCUAGUUCCCCGCUGUGAUAUAAUCAGUGUCAGACCAAUUAGUUUAUCCCAGUCUUGGCAACCUCCCCAUGACCUCUCUCCUUGCAGUGAGUGCAACCUACUUAAACUGCCCCCUAGGACCUCCUUCCAGGCCUAGUCAAGUCUCGCUCGCUCACAGAAGCCCUGUGCUCCACCGACUCGCAGACUGCCUGCAUGCCCAUCCUCCAAAACCCGAACCGAGUGCUGCCCUUGGUCCUUGCCAAAAAAGCAAUCGAUGCAUUCCGACCACAAAGACUUGGUUGCUUCCCCUGCCUAGACGCAGUUCCUUCAACAUAGAUACACAAGGGAUGAACUGCAAUAUUUUCUGAAGAGUGCCACUUGUGUAUAUGAAGAGCAAUCUCCGUUUUUCAAGUGUUGGUUCUUACGCAGCAAGAACGACAUCUUAUGUGCAGACGAGGGAAGUAUCAGCCCAUCUGGAAAACUGAAAGGUUUACAGGUGUUUUAAAAAAAGCUUAGGAAAAGACUGGACUUUUUCAUGAGGACUGAGCAAGCUCAGUGACUGUGGAAUGCUCUGGGUUGGAUCUAGGAUCGACCUUCUGCGAGGGGAAGGGAUGACCCCCCUCCCACCCACAGGACAGCUCUUCCCAUUCAGCAGGGCGCCCUGGCUGGAAGGCUGCUCUGAGCUUUUCUACAGGAAGUUACCAAUCUGCUGCCUCUCCUUUCAGUUCCAUCACACUAGAAUUGAGACCUGCACACGACUUCCUCCUUUUUCACUACAUAACCGCCAGAUGGUGCUCUGUAAUAGUGGCACACUGCAAAUACAAAAAAAGGAAAUGGCUUUUUCUUUUGCCAACAGAAAUAAUACCCAUUUCCCCCUGCUUAAAACAAGAAUUGGCAGAAAGGGUUGUUUUUCAAAAGGAAACAAAACCAUGGGACCGUAAUGUCCUCGAAAGAACCUGUAAAAAGGUGAGUGAGGAAGGAUGAGCACAGAACAAAAUAGCUCCUAGAAACGGCUCUAUGUAAAAUUUUCAGCAUGCUGGGAGGACUGGAAGGCAGAGUUGAUUCACAACAAAUCUAAAUGCAACUCUACUUACCUGCCCUCUGCUUAUUGCGGUCCAAGGCCCAGUUAAAACAUUAAAAUACACCCCAGAAACAGAGCAGCAAAGUAUAUAUAUGAAAGUGAACAGAACUGCGUAUCAUCCAUGCCAAACGAAGAAAAACAAAAAUAAAGUCCAGUUCACUGAGCUUUCACUUUAACUGCAACAGAAAAAAGCAAAGCAAAAAACUUUGCAACGGUUCCAGUAACUACAAGAAUGGUGACAGCUAAACAGGAUGUCUGCCAGGAAACUUAGAUAAGAGAAGGUGCUAUCAGCUCUCCCCUAACAUCCCGGCAGGAAUUCUAACAUGAUCUGCAGUUGCAGCCUCCAAGUCCCCAGAAUAUCGGGGACGGAGCAGCAAUGAAGAAGUUUCAAUGAAUCUCCUCUUCAUGGUGGGGCAUUCACACAGACCAAUGCGAGUGCAACCCGAGGCUCAGCAGCAGCAAGAAGUUUUAGAGGAUUGGCCCUCUGCUUCCACAUGCAUUUUGGUUUGUACGUGGAACAGAAAGGAGGGGGUGGUACAAGCAUCUGGAAUCUUGGACUGUGGGAGGAUAAAUGGAAUGGGGUGUAUCCUGCAAGAGGGCAGGAUCGCAGCCAGCCCAGUAUGAACAAGAGCACUUCACAUCCCAACACUCUGCUGCAGGCCCCACUCCGCACCUUGGUUCCCACUGUACGUAUUCCCAAUAUGUAACCAAACCAGCACCAGCCACAGCCAAACGGCACUGAAUCCCACUUCACGUUGUGCAGGGUAGUGCCAUUUUCAUAAGCAACAGAAACGCCUUCCCUUUUUUUCAAAGGCAUUGGCAAAAUCUUCAACAACAACACCCGAAGAGGAAGUGGGAACCCUCAAAGCAGGAUUCGCAUGCUGACUGCCGUCGUUCCAACAUAUUGUUGUGCACCAUGGUGUUCGGUAAUUCAUCAUCUCCCUCCACGUUCCCCAUCAGCAAUUAAUUCCAGUUAAAAGGCAAUCAAAGCCAACUAGAAAUGCUGGCUACACCUUCUAGCCAGGAUGGCAACCUGGAAUAGGACCUCAACAUCCCAACGAUCAAGGAGUUUUUACAAGCAUGGGUGAUCUGCUUGAUGACGUGAAUAAAAAGAUGGAGAAAGCCAACAGUCACUAAAGCCUCUCAUAAACAGUUGGAAAGAACGACAGGAAAGCUUGGGAUGUGGUAACUUCUGGCACAGAAGGAUAGACAGCAUUAAAUGUCAGCAAGAAACGCAUCGACUUAUUUCCCUUAAAAGCAUUAUGCCCGGCACAAAUCCAGAUUCCUUCGCUUCCUCCUGCUGCAGAAGAGGAAAGAAGAUGCGAUCAAUGCGAGGUUUAUUUAUCACACAUCUCUCAUCUACUGUGCUAAAUAGAUAGGUGACCAGGGCAGGGAAGCGCAGAAGGGGAAAGUCCGAGGUUCCCUCUCUGCCCACCCCCCGGCAUUAAGCUCCACGCAGUCCCUGCACCCUUGUGCUGGAAGGCCUGGAAGGCGGCUUUGGGAACAGCCCUCCAGCGCUCCUUUGGCAGAAUACAGGAGACAGAUUCCUUCUCCGUUUGGCUAAGAAACCCGCCACUGCAGGAUGUAAGCUUCCGCCGCAGCGGGACCUGCCCUUGGCAAAGCUCUUCUGGGGGGCAUAUCCCCCCAGUGGUCGCGGCAGCCCUGGAGAGUAACAGCAGUAGCAGUUGGAGCACCAGGGCUGUGGGGAGGGGGCAUCCGGACCAUCCCUCCGAGCCGCAGCCGUCCUGCAGCGGGCCAGAGGAGAGCUGAGGGAGGCGUCCGGCUCCGGCUCAAGCAACUUCACUGCAGCGGCUCCAUGCCUUGCAACCGGCCACCAGACCUACAUCUCGCAAACAGAGAGUCACACCAGACAGACCGCUGUCUCCAAGCACGGACUGUUUGAGGAGCAUCUAAAGGAAGAUGCUUUUCAGUGUUCGGGAGCCCUCCAUAACAGAAAUGGGAUUUUAAUGCCACCCCCGAGGAACUGUGCCAUGCGCAGAUGAAAUGGGCAGGGCUGAAGUCUGGGACUGCAGAGGCAUCCAGAAUCCAAGUGAAUUAAGCCGCCAGCAGAGCUAUAGGAAGACAACCCACUGAAGUGGAGCACCAGCAGAAAGAUACUUCAAGGUUCCGAUUCCAUUAGAAACGGCAUUAUUUAUUGUAAGCUGCUUUGCGCCUCUGUGAAAAAAAUAGGAUAAAAGACCCCCCCAACCAGAGCAGUUUGUUUCUCUCUGAAUAUUUACUGCAGCAAUAGAGCUAUCUUCCUUUCAUGAAAAGUAACUCUCAAAUUAAGCAAGCUGCAACUGAUCCUAUUUAAAUACACGUGAUCAGUGAGUACACACCAAAAUCUUGGUUACACUCGCACUGUUGUAAGUGCUCCAGUAGGGCUGGAUCUGAAAACUGGAUAGACAGAGACACUCUGCAAGCCUCAGCAGAUGUUCCUUUCAGCCCUGGAGUCAAUGCAGCACUUCUAAGUGCCACCACAUUGACAGCCCUGCACAGCCCAGCUCUUUGUUGGACAGGCAGCAGCGGCUGUAUCCUUAUGCUCGCGGCAACCAGACUGAACAAGCCUUCAGCCAGAGGAAAGGGAGAGGAAGAGAAAGAGGGAGAAGGGAAGGAGAGAGGCUGAAAGGUUUGGGGAAGGUGCAUGGACAGGUGAUACCACCCCCUGCUAACAAGAAUGCUGGGAAAAAGGCAAUCACGCCCGGCUUGCUGUGUGAGACACCGAAGCAACAGCCCUCUGCGCUUCCCCUGUGGACUCAGGCUACUGAGCUCAGUAGGAAUGACGAACGCACAUAAAAGGAGGCCUGCUGGGCCAGACCAAAGCAAGCCCGACAAGACGUCUGAAAGAGGCGCCCGAGUGAGGCCUGAGGCAGGAUAGCACUUCCUGUCUGUGGCUCUUCCCCAGGAAGCUCUAGUCACAGCCACAGGGACGUGGCUCCGCAGCCACCGUGGAGUCACUGGGCCUGGAGCCCCUCUCUCACCUCGGAGCCACCGUUUAAGUCUAGGCUGCAGAUCACCCACACCAUCCCGUGCGCAAGACAUUCCAUGACGCUCCUCUUGAACCAUGCGAGGAUAGUACGUUAUUUUCGUCUGUUCUGAGUCACCGAUAUUAUUGGAAGGCUCCGAGCUCCAGCUCUUUCAGAAAGGAGAAAAACCUUGCCUGUGAUACCCACGCUCUUGGGAUCCAUCGGUACAUUUGGGAAUUCGAGAAACUGCUGUUGACGCCCAUACAAAUGCCAAAUUGGUGGGUUGCCGCUACCCAUUGCUUUGCCUAUCUAUGGCUCUCAUUCAGCAAAAUAAUUGUUUUGUGUCUGCUGGAACAUCUCUUUAAUACAGGUUGUCUAAUCUAGCUAAUUGCUGCUGGUGGUGCCAUGAAGGUGUUGCUUCUUUUAAAUGUGUUCUGGCAAUUAUUAUUACACGGCAUUUCUAUGCUAUUUUUUGGUGAGGUGUUCAAGGCAACAUACGUGGCUCCAUUUUAGCCUCGCAACCACCACCCCACGAGGGAGGUUGAGGAUGAAAAACGACCAGUGGGCAUGAAUUGCAUUAGCAAAGGUGCCUGGGAAAACUGCAGCAGUGCCUGUCUGUAUCACUCACUGCUUCAUGCUGAGCUUUAUUACUCACUCAGUGGAAUCGGCUAUCCUAGAUUCUCACAGAACACACCCAGUCAUAGCCUAAGGGAGAAAGUUACAUCAUGGUUAAUAAAGUCUGACAUGAAAGAAUCCCAGGGCAAUGUCCACAGGCUGCCUUUGGAAUCAAGACUCUUAAAAGAGCAGCAACUUAAUGAAAGUUAGCACGGCAAGAAGAGACAGACGGACGGACAGACAGGAGCAGAUGCAACAUCACAGCUAUGGUUAUUCACAGGAAAAGAGGAACUGCAUAAACAACCAAUCUGAUUUUUGUACGAUAUUUGUUAGGAGUCCUGGAAGGAAUACCGCAAGGGGCUACUAGAAGCAGACACAGAGAGCUGCUGAAGAGCCCCACCUGUGAGUGGCAAUAAGCUACUCUGGCAGCUGCCUUAUUUUAUUCCUGGAUUUGUUUCCACCUUGGUACCGACUCGGCUUUUAUGCUGCUGGUCAGCUUUAGUAAUCGAGGUGGACUAUCAAAGCAGUGCACCCAACUCUGGGGGAGCAGUGGUACAAGACCAACCCUGCAGCCUGCCAAAAAUAUAACGGGGCCAUGCCUCUUCCUAUUCAGGGCAAAGCCCAGGAACAAAACAAGGCACAAGCUGAGAACUAUUGGAGACAACACAAUAUGUGCUUUCCGCAGCUCAGGCACAAAUCAAUCAUAGCAUGGACAAGUCAAAACAAAGUCUGAACGGUCUUCUCCACCCAUUUAUGAUCUUAGUGCCAGUCAACCUUCCAGUGAAGGCGCUUCGCAUGUGAUUUAACACUAAUGAUUCAGUUUUUAUUUGCACCCUCCUCCCAAACACACACUCACAUACACACACCCCUAAACCUUUUUGAGAUUGAAGUAAUCCACAGGUUCUAGCUCAACCAGAAAUGCAGUGAGUGCACACACACGGAAGUCAUCUUGCUUUCCGAUUUAGCCAGGACAGCUGACAGAACCACUGUGUGUGGAAGCAGCACACCGUGGUGUCCCAGACACGGGGGACAAACAUGGCAGCGGGGGACUGUUCCCACACUUUGAUUGGAUGGCCAUUUCCAAGGGCAUCUCGUUGGCCAGUGCUGCAAAGAGAAUGCCAGGCUAUAGAUGGGCCUUGGAAUGAUCCAGGAAAGAUUAAGUUUUUACUUACUGCCCUGUGAUAAAAUAGGAUUGGAUAGCAUCAAAAUGUUAAGUCAAAAGCGCACAACCAGCGCUGAAGCUUCCUGCAAAGUAGAAUGUGUGGUCUUCCAAUUCCCGCCCAACAGCUGUGAUGUACAAGCUAACGGAAGUUUCCUUUCCCUGCCUUGUUUUCAGGCUUGAUGGAGUAAACCACUUGCUGCUCAUGUCAAGGAAUGCAGGUGACGGCUUGAAUUGCACAGCGGUUGCCUAGAAAUUCACCUCAUUUUACACCAAGCAUUUCUAGAAAGGGCUAGAAAAGACACAGAAUUUACAGAGAACAUGUUAAUUUUGUGCCUCUUUUUUUGUCAAUGAACAUUUCAAUUGCGAAAGUGCAUCUGCUAAUAGCUAAUGGCCAGACCACGUGAUCCAAUACCAAUGACCUGGGCUGACCGUAUUCACACACCCCAUGUCAUAGCCUGAAUAAGUGAGGUCAAGGCAAAAUUUAUUCAACAUUGCUCUCAAAUGUUUUUCAAAGCAUAAAGCGGGUUCAAUGGGAACUUUUGAGUCCAAGGUCAGGAGAUAACUGAGAGAUGCUCCAUUUGGUCGCCAGCACAAGGGAGAAUAAUAUUGGCUUGAUGCCAGCUCCUGCAGACAGUCUGCAGAUAACCUGUGAAGACAGCUUGCGGAAGCUGAAUAGAUUGGGCUCCGCUGAGUGGAUGGGGUGCAAACUGCAGGCCACAUGCUCUGCAUGAUUUAAAAUGCUGGGACAGAACUGCACUAAACAGGCCAACAACCAAGUGUGUAUUUUAUUUCCCAGCUGAGCUAUGCAUCCAGCAUUAAACAAGGUGAUAAUUUAUGUUGCUUAUAGAUAUCCACACCUAUCCCAUUUAAUAUUAGGAAUUUCAUGACAGCAGCCAAAUUAAGGCUUGCUUUAAUCCCUACCGUUUUUGUUUAAAGGUAGGAAAAAAACACAAGAGAAACAUUCAAGCUUAACAAGCUUGAGUUGUACUUUUUACCUGCACAGCUAUACAUUAAGCUAGCAUGUAAAGUCACCUUUGCUAAGCUGGAAUGGUAAGGGCCUGAGGCUGGAUGGGUGACCACAUGGGGAAGUGGAGCAUGGGGUUGGACUCAAGGGCCUGACAGGCCCCUUCCAACUCUACUACUAUUCUGUUCAGUUCUAUUGCUUACCUGAAUGCUUACAUACCACAAAAAGUUAUGAAAAGCUCGUUUAUUAAACCUCUGUACACAACUGUUGACAUAUAUGUACAGCAAGUUCAACUAUAUGAGGAUGUUACCAAAAAAAAGCAGAAAUGACUGAAAAAAUUGACUCACAUAAAUUACUUAUAAAACUUUUCAAAAAGGGUAGACAGUUGCAAAGUAAUCCCUGAUUAUUCCCACCUGAUUGGCAGAUCUCUCUCUCUCUUAAAUGGAAGGGAAAGCAUUUUAAAAAGCUUGUAACCUUUUAAAAACUGCUGACAGUCAACUUAUCUAUAGGAUGAUCAGCUCCAUGUGGAAAGAACAGGCUUCAUGUACACAGCACAAAAACCUUCACUUGUCGCUGCUGAAACUCACAAGUCAAAACAGAGCCAGAAAGAUUAACCCAUAUUUGGAGGGCCUUUUCGGAAGAGUCUGUAAAGUAAUAUUGGAUAACUAAGUCACUCAGUAGCUCUUAUUUAUAUUAGCGGAAAUAUUUUUUUUCCUUUAGGCUGCAAUUGGUCCUAAAGUCAAAAUGGAAGCCCUGUACACUGGACAUUAAAAAAUAAAUCACACCAUUUUAGGAAGAACAAAGCAA